GACGAACCGUGCGACCGUUGUUCGGAUUCACUGGGCUUAAAGGGCGCGUAGGCGGAAGGUCAAGUCCGAGGUGAAAUCUUUCGGCUCAACCGGAAAAGUGCCUUGGAUACGGAUCUUCUCGAGGGAGGUAGGGGCAUGUGGAACUUCCGGUGGAGCGGUGAAAUGCGUAGAUAUCGAGAGGAACACCUGCGGCGAAGGCGGGUUGCUGGGCUGACACUGACGCUGAGGCGCGAAAGCUAGGGGAGCGAACGGG
rnacentral:rRNA from 1 species